rnacentral:rRNA from 1 species
CCUACGAGAGGCUGCAGUGAGGAAUAUUGGUCAAUGGGCGCGAGCCUGAACCAGCCAAGUAGCGUGAAGGAUGACUGCCCUACGGGUUGUAAACUUCUUUUAUAAAGGAAUAAAGUGAGGCACGUGUGCCUUUUUGUAUGUACCUUAUGAAUAAGGAUCGGCUAACUCCGUGCCAGCAGCCGCGGUAAUACGGAGGAUCCGAGCGUUAUCCGGAUUUAUUGGGUUUAAAGGGAGCGUAGAUGGGCUGUUAAGUCAGCUGUGAAAGUCUGCGGCUCAACCGUAGAAUUGCCAUUGAUACUGGCAGUCUUGAGUAUAGUUGAGGUAGGCGGAAUGCGUGGUGUAGCGGUGAAAUGCUUAGAUAUCACGAAGAACUCCGAUUGCGAAGGCAGCUUACUAAGCUGCCACUGACGUUGAUGCACGAAAGUGUGGGUAUCAAACAGGAUUAGAUACCCCAGUAGUC